rnacentral:tRNA from 1 species
GGAAGGGUGGCAGAGCGGUCGAAUGCGGCGGUCUCGAAAACCGUUACACGGACAACCGUGUCGUAGGUUCGAAUCCUAUCCCUUCCGCCA